UGAUCCCUGGCUCAGGAUGAACGCUAGCGGCAGGCUUAACACAUGCAAGUCGAGGGGUAUAGUUCUUCGGAAUUAGAGACCGGCGCACGGGUGCGUAACGCGUAUGCAAUCUACCUUUUACAGAGGGAUAGCCCAGAGAAAUUUGGAUUAAUACCUCAUAGUAUAAUGACUUGGCAUCAAGACAUUAUUAAAGUCACAACGGUAAAAGAUGAGCAUGCGUCCCAUUAGCUAGUUGGUAAGGUAACGGCUUACCAAGGCUACGAUGGGUAGGGGUCCUGAGAGGGAGAUCCCCCACACUGGUACUGAGACACGGACCAGACUCCUACGGGAGGCAGCAGUGAGGAAUAUUGGACAAUGGGCGCAAGCCUGAUCCAGCCAUGCCGCGUGCAGGAUGACGGUCCUAUGGAUUGUAAACUGCUUUUAUACGAGAAGAAACACUACUUCGUGAAGUAGCUUGACGGUAUCGUAAGAAUAAGGAUCG
rnacentral:rRNA from 1 species